rnacentral:rRNA from 1 species
ACCUGACUGCUAUCGGAUUGAUACUAAGCCAUGCGAGUCUUUGUAGUAAUACAAGGCAGACGGCUCAGUAACACGUAGUCAACCUACCCUAUGGACGGGAAUAAUCUCGGGAAACUGAGGAUAAUACCCGGCAUAUCACCAUUCCUGGAAUGGUUGGUGAUUAAAAUGAUUCGUCGCCGUAGGAUGGGACUGCGACCUAUCAGCUUGUUGGUGGGGUAAAGGCCCACCAAGGCGAUUACAGGUACGGGCUCUGAGAGGAGAAGCCUGGAGAUGGGUACUGAGACACGGACCCAGGCCCUAUGGGGCGCAGCCGGCGAGAAGACUUUGCAAUGUGCGAAAGCACGACAAGGUUAAUCCGAGUGAUUUCUGCUAAAGGAAUCUUUUGCCAGUUCUAAAAAUACUAGUGAAUAAGGGGUGGGCAAGUUCUGGUGUCAGCCGCCGCGGUAAAACCAGCACCUCAAGUGGUCAGGAGGAUUAUUGGGCCUAAAGCAUCCRUAGCCGGCUCUGUAAGUUUUCGGUUAAAUCUAURYGCUNCAACGUAURGGCUGCCGAAAAUACUGCAGAGCUAGGRAGUGGGAGAGGURGACGGUACUCGGUAGGAAGGGGUAAAAUCCUUUGAUCUAUCGAUGACCACCUGUGGSGAAGGCGGUCUACCAGAACACGUUCGACGGUGAGGGAUGAAAGCUGGGGGAGCAAACCGGAUUAGAUACCCSGGUAGUCCCASCUGUAAACGAUGCAGACUCGAUGAUGCAUUGGCAUAUAGCCRGUGCAGUGUCGCWGGGAAGCCGUUAAGUCUGCCGCCUGGGAAGUACGUACGCAAGUAUGAAACUUAAAGGAAUUGGCGGGGGAACACCACAAGGGGUGAAGCCUGCGGUUCAAUUGGAUUCAACGCCGGG